CAGUCGCCGCGGGAAUACGUAGGGUGCGAGCGUUAAUCGGAAUUACUGGGCGUAAAGCGUGCGCAGGCGGUUCGUUAAGACAGAUGUGAAAUCCCCGGGCUUAACCUGGGAAUUGCCUUUAAGACUGCAGAGCUAGCAGGUGAGAGAGGUGAGUGGAAUUCCGAGUGUAGAGGUGAAAUUCGUAGAUAUUCAGAAGAACACCAGUGGCGAAGGCGGCUCACUGGCUCAUACUGGACGCUGAGGUGCGAAAGCGUGGGGAGCAAACAGGAUUAGAUACCCGCGUAGUCCCUGUCUCUUAUAC
rnacentral:rRNA from 1 species